GACGAACGCUGGCGGCGUGCCUAACACAUGCAAGUCGAACGGAGAUACGAUUUCGGUUGUAUCUUAGUGGCGAACGGGUGAGUAACGCGUGAGCAACCUGACUCUUAGAGGGGGAUAACACUCGGAAACGAGUGCUAAUACCGCAUAAGACCACGACAUGGCAUCAUGACGAGGUCAAAGGAGCAAUCCGCUGAGAGAGGGGCUCGCGUCCCAUUAGAUAGAUGGCGGGGUAACGGCCCACCAUGUCCGCGAUGGGUAGCCGAGCUGAGAGGCUGAUCGGCCACACUGGAACUGAGACACGGUCCAGACUCCUACGGGGGGCAGCAGUGGGGAAUAUUGGGCAAUGGGCGCAAGCCUGACCCAGCAACGCCGCGUGAGGGAAGAAGGCUUUCGGGUUGUAAACCUCUGUCCUUGGUGACGAAACAAAUGACGGUAGCCAAGAAGGAAGCCCCGGCUAACUACGUGCCAGCCGCCGCGGUAA
rnacentral:rRNA from 1 species